GACGAACGCUGGCGGCGUGCUUAACACAUGCAAGUCGAACGAUGAUGCGGUGCGUGCACCGUUGAUUAGUGGCGAACGGGUGAGUAACACGUGAGUAACCUGCCCUCUUCUUUGGGAUAACGGUCUGAAAGGGCUGCUAAUACUGAAUAUUCACAUGUCUUCGCAUGGGGGUGUGUGGAAAGAGAUGCUUUUGGGUGUUUUUGGUGGGGGAUGGGCUCGCGGCCUAUCAGCUUGUUGGUGGGGUAGUGGCCUACCAAGGCUUUGACGGGUAACCGGCCUGAGAGGGUGACCGGUCACAUUGGGACUGAGAUACGGCCCAGACUCCUACGGGAGGCAGCAGUGGGGAAUUUUGCACAAUGGACGCAAAGUCUGAUGCAGCGACGCCCGCGUGAGGGAAUGUAGGCCCUUCCGG
rnacentral:rRNA from 1 species